rnacentral:rRNA from 1 species
UGCUGAACAUGCGCCACGACAUUGUCUCACCCCGUAGCGAGAUGACUGUGAAUCU